GCCCACAUCGCAUAGUGGUUAUUGCACCGGCUUGCUAAGCCGGGCCGUUCGCGGCACCCAGGUUCGAUUCCUGGUGUGGGCG
rnacentral:tRNA from 1 species